UGGAAAGUCACCAGCCCCUUACUUCACAAUGCACCCAUUUGGGCUAGGGGCAUCCUGUCAUAAGCAUGUUCUAUUGCUUAACCAGACAGAGGCUGCCCACUUGACCUACAAGUAAUGAGUCUGAUCUUUAUGCACCUUUCUAACCCAUAAGACGAGCUGGAAACUACUUUCUGGAUUCUUGGAUUAAGCAGCAUAGGUAAUCAGAUACAUUCUCUCUCACUGUAUUUUGUGGACCAGUCAGUCAGCAACCUUUGACUCAAGGACAGACCUUCUCAUCUCAUUCCCCACAGCACCCUACAGAAAAUCCUGCCGAGUGACUAGACUGGCCUUGACCUGCCUCAGCCUCCUGCGUAGCUCUGAUUACAAGCAAUUACACUUGGUGUCUUCUAGUGCGAUGUAGUUGAAGAGGGGCACACGACAUGCUCAGAAGAACCCUAUCAUGUGAUCGUGUCACCUAACUGCAAGGAGAGCUAAAUGAAGUCGUUAGCUGGCCAACGAUUUGUCAUCUAAUCCUCACUCCUAUUGAAGAGCGAGGGAGUGGAUGUUAGCCAGCCAUCUGCCCACUUCAACCAUCCUUGUGUUCUGAUUUUUUUAAUCUGAUUUUUAAU
ensembl:lncRNA LOC102554140 uncharacterized LOC102554140